AGAAAGGAACAAGUGAAGCUGCCAGCAUGAUCUAUCUAUGGCUAAGCUUAGCUAGCUCAAUAUUAUACGCAUAUAAUAGUAGUAGUAAUUGCUAGCUGUAGCUAGGUCAUGCUGCGACAGCCUCACUUCUUCCUUGU
rnacentral:pre_miRNA from 1 species